AGAGUUUGAUCCUGGCUCAGGACGAACGCUGGCGGCGUGCUUAACACAUGCAAGUCGAACGGGGGAUUACGAGACGGAAGGCUUCGGCCGGAAGGAUUGUAAUUCGAGUGGCGGACGGGUGAGUAACGCGUGAACAAUCUGUCCCAGACAGGGGGAUAACACUUGGAAACAGGUGCUAAUACCGCAUGAGACCACAGUGUCGCAUGGCACAGGGGUAAAACGGGCAACCGGGUUUGGGGUGAGUUCGCGUCCGAUUAGAUAGUUGGUGAGGUAACGGCCCACCAAGUCGACGAUCGGUAGCCGACCUGAGAGGGUGAUCGGCCACAUUGGAACUGAGAGACGGUCCAAACUCCUACGGGAGGCAGCAGUGGGGAAUAUUGGGCAAUGGGCGAAAGCCUGACCCAGCAACGCCGCGUGAGUGAAGAAGGCCUUCGGGUUGUAAAGCUCUGUUAUAGGGGACGAAGGAAGUGACGGUACCCUAUAAGGAAGCCCCGGCUAACUACGUGCC
rnacentral:rRNA from 1 species